rnacentral:rRNA from 1 species
CGUCUUGAAACACGGACCAAGGAGUUUAGCGUGUGCGCGAGUCAUUGGGUACAAUAAACCUAAAGGCGAAAUGAAAGUGAAGGAAACUUGCUUUCUGAAGGAAGAUGGGUCAGGGCUCACUGAGCCCUCCUCGCACUCCUGGGGCGUCUGUAACUCUCUUUGAGGGGAAGGCGCACCUAGAGCGCACACGCUGAUACCCGAAAGAUGGUGAACUAUGCCUGGCCAGGACGAAGCCAGGGGAAACCCUGGUGGAGGUCCGCAGCGAUUCUGACGUGCAAAUCGAUCGUCGGAGCUGGGUAUAGGGGCGAAAGACCAAUCGAACCAUCUAGUAGCUGGUUCCU